rnacentral:rRNA from 1 species
CCCCUAGCGGAGGAAAAGAAACCAACCGGGAUUGCCUUAGUAACGGCGAGUGAAGCGGCAAAAGCUCAAAUUUGAAAUCUGGUACCUUUGGUGCCCGAGUUGUAAUUUGGAGAGGGCAACUUUGGGACCGUUCCUUGUCUAUGUUCCUUGGAACAGGACGUCAUAGAGGGUGAGAAUCCCGUGUGGCGAGGAGUGCGGUUCUAUGUAAAGUGCCUUCGAAGAGUCGAGUUGUUUGGGAAUGCAGCUCUAAGUGGGUGGUAAAUUCCAUCUAAAGCUAAAUAUUGGCGAGAGACCGAUAGCGAACAAGUACAGUGAUGGAAAGAUGAAAAGAACUUUGAAAAGAGAGUGAAAAAGUACGUGAAAUUGUUGAAAGGGAAGGGCAUUUGAUCAGACAUGGUGUUUUGCGCCCUCUGCUCCUUGUGGGUGGGGGAAUCUCGCAGUUCACUGGGCCAGCAUCAGUUUUGGUGGCAGGAUAAAUCCGUAGGAAUGUAACUUGCUUCGGGAAGUAUUAUAGCCUAUGGGAAUACUGCCAGCUGGGACUGAGGACUGCGACGUAAGUCAAGGAUGCUGGCAUAAUGGUUAUAUGCCGCCCGUCUGAAAACCCC